rnacentral:rRNA from 1 species
GCAGCCAUGCCGCGUGUGUGAAGAAGGCCUUCGGGUUGUAAAGCACUUUCAGUCGUGAGGAAGGUAGUUGCGUUAAUAGCGUAAUUAUUUGACGUUAGCGACAGAAGAAGCACCGGCUAACUCCGUGCCAGCAGCCGCGGUAAUACGGAGGGUGCGAGCGUUAAUCGGAAUUACUGGGCGUAAAGCGCAUGCAGGUGGUUUGUUAAGUCAGAUGUGAAAGCCCGGGGCUCAACCUCGGAAUUGCAUUUGAAACUGGCAGACUAGAGUACUGUAGAGGGGGGUAGAAUUUCAGGUGUAGCGGUGAAAUGCGUAGAGAUCUGAAGGAAUACCGGUGGCGAAGGCGGCCCCCUGGACAGAUACUGACACUCAGAUGCGAAAGCGUGGGGAGCAAACAGGAUUAGAUACCCUGGUAGUCCACGCCGUAAACGAUGUCUACUUGGAGGUUGUGGCCUUGAGCCGUGGCUUUCGGAGCUAACGCGUUAAGUAGACCGCCUGGGGAGUACGGUCGCAAGAUUAAAACUCAAAUGAAUUGACGGGGGCCCGCACAAGCGGUGGAGCAUGUGGUUUAAUUCGAUGCAACGCGAAGAACCUUACCUACUCUUGACAUCCAGAGAAGCCAGCGGAG